rnacentral:rRNA from 1 species
UGCAGUCGAACGGCAGCACAGGANAUCUUGCUCUCUGGGUGGCCAGUGGCGGACGGGUGAGGUAUACAUCUGAAUCUACUCUGUCGUGGGGGAUAACGUAGGGAAACUUACACUAAUACCGCCUACCACCUACGGGUGAAAGCACGGGACCUUCUGGCCUUGCGCGAUUGAAUGAGCCGAUGUCGGAUUAUCUAGUUGGCGGGGUAAAGGCCCGCCAAGGUCACGAUCCGUACCUGGUCUGAGAUGAUGAUCACUGACACUGGAACUGAGACCCGGUCCCGACUCCUACNGGAGGCAGCAAUGGGUAAAAUUGGACAAUGGUUGCAAGCCUGAUCC